GUAGGUGAACCUGCGGAAGGAUCAUUAAAUACGAAUGGAUUUGCAGGUCACUAGCCCGUGACCCCGAUGUUUGACUGCCCUUACCGGCUGUCAUCCGAGGGAACGGCGCGAAAUGGCUCGUUUGUGAGUUCCGGUUCAGGCGCUCACGCGUACCCCGGGCUCACAUAAAUGCUGCCGUCGGGUCUAAUCCUGUGCAAGUACGAUAUGCAUUUAUGCCUCUGUCGGAAAAGCCAGCCUCGACAACCCCCCCUAAAAAGGUGAGUCCUUGGGGCGCGGCUACCACCAUUGCCGCCGGGAUUAGAUGUCUGAACCCUUUGCCUAUACGUACCUCAUGUUGUUUCCUCGGUGCCUCUGGCGCCGAACGGAACCCCCUUAAACCUUUGUAUAUACAGUAUCAAAAUCUCAGAUAACCAAAUAAAUUAUUACAACUUUUAACAAUGGAUCUCUUGGUUCUG
rnacentral:misc_RNA from 1 species